rnacentral:rRNA from 1 species
AUUGAACGCUGGCGGCAGGCUUAACACAUGCAAGUCGAACGAGUGGCGGACGGGUGAGUAAUGCUUGGGAAUCUAGCUUAUGGAGGGGGAUAACUACGGGAAACUGUAGCUAAUCCCGCGUACCAUAGGAUGAGCCCAAGUGGGAUUAGGUAGUUGGUGAGGUAAAGGCUCACCAGGCCGACGAUCUCGAGCUGGUCUGAGAGGAUGACCAGGCACACUGGGAAGGAGACACGGCCCAGACGCCUACGGGGGGCAGCAGUGGGGAAUAUUGCGCAAUGGGGGCAACCUGACGCAGCCAUGCCGGGUGAAUGAAGAAGGCGUUCGGGUUGUAAGGUUCUUUAGGGAGCGAGGCGUUAACUACAGAAGAAGCACCGGCUAACUCCGUGCCAGCCGCCGCGGUAAUAC